CACCAACCCGUUCAAAAAGCAGGCAACGGCCGAAGACCAUCAAUAGGUCAUCAAUGCAGCAAGAAACUCCCAAACCCGGAGGCGUUCUUCAGCUGGCCCCUAAACAAAAAUGUACUAGUUUGAAAUGAUAAUGGACGUCAUACUAAGCUUCGAAAUAUACUCAAGAAAUUAAAACAAAAAAUCAUACAAAAAUAAGAAAGGCCAGAGGCUCCUGACUUGGGACAGGCGCAAAAUUGCGGCGGGGUUAAACAUGUUUUUGCAAUCUCAACCCUCCCCCUGCGUGAACAGAUCAAAUAUUGUAGAAAGUUGGAUAACAUCAUACCGGACCGAUGUUGCCUUUUAACCAACCAAAGUCAUACGGAG
rnacentral:lncRNA from 1 species